rnacentral:tRNA from 1 species
UCCCUGGUGGCUCAGAGGUUAAAGCGUCUGCCUGCAAUGCGGGAGACCUGGGUUCAAUCCCUGGGUAUGGAA